rnacentral:rRNA from 1 species
CAGCGCCGCGGGAAUACGUAGGUGGCAAGCGUUGUCCGGAAUUAUUGGGCGUAAAGGGCUCGCAGGCGGUUUCUUAAGUCUGAUGUGAAAGCCCCCGGCUCAACCGGGGAGGGUCAUUGGAAACUGGGAAACUUGAGUGCAGAAGAGGAGAGUGGAAUUCCACGUGUAGCGGUGAAAUGCGUAGAGAUGUGGAGGAACACCUGUGGCGAAGGCGACUCUCUGGUCUGUAACUGACGCUGAGGAGCGAAAGCGUGGGGAGCGAACAGGAUUAGAUACCCGCGUAGUCCCUGUCUCUUAUACC